GAUGAACGCUGGCGGCGUGCCUAAUACAUGCAAGUCGAGCGAACGGACGAGAAGCUUGCUUCUCUGAUGUUAGCGGCGGACGGGUGAGUAACACGUGGAUAACCUACCUAUAAGACUGGGAUAACUUCGGGAAACCGGAGCUAAUACCGGAUGAUAUUUUGAACCGCAUGGUUCAAAAGUGAAAGACGGUCUUGCUGUCACUUAUAGAUGGAUCCGCGCUGCAUUAGCUAGUUGGUAAGGUAACGGCUUACCAAGGCAACGAUGCAUAGCCGACCUGAAAGGGUGAUCGGCCACACUGGAACUGAGACACGGUCCAGACUCCCACGGGAGGCAGCAGUAGGGAAUCUUCCGCAAUGGGCGAAAGCCUGACGGAGCAACGCCGCGUGAGUGAUGAAGGUCUUCGGAUCGUAAAACUCUGUUAUUAGGGAAGAACAUAUGUGUAAGUAACUGUGCACAUCUUGACGGUACCUAAUCAGAAAGCCACGGCUAACUACGUG
rnacentral:rRNA from 1 species